rnacentral:rRNA from 1 species
AGCGCAGGCGGGAAGACAAGUUGGAAGUGAAAUCUAUGGGCUCAGCCCAUAAACUGCUUUCAAAACUGUUUUUCUUGAGUAGUGCAGAGGUAGGCGGAAUUCCCGGUGUAGCGGUGGAAUGCGUAGAUAUCGGGAGGAACACCAGUGGCGAAGGCGGCCUACUGGGCACCAACUGACGCUGAGGCUCGAAAGUGUGGGUAGCAAACA